rnacentral:rRNA from 1 species
UACGUAGGGGGCAAGCGUUAUCCGGAUUUACUGGGUGUAAAGGGAGCGUAGACGGCUUUGCAAGCCAGAUGUGAAAGCCCGGGGCUCAACCUCGGGACUGCAUUUGGAACUGUAUGGCUGGAGUGUCGGAGAGGCAGGCGGAAUUCCUAGUGUAGCGGUGAAAUGCGUAGAUAUUAGGAGGAACACCAGUGGCGAAGGCGGCCUGCUGGACGAUGACUAACGUUGAGGCUCGAAAGCGUGGGGAGCAAACAGG